rnacentral:rRNA from 1 species
AACGAACGCUGGCGGCAUGCCUAACACAUGCAAGUCGAACGAGACCUUCGGGUCUAGUGGCGCACGGGUGCGUCACGCGUGGGAACCUGCCCUUAGGUUCGGCAUACCUCCCCGAAAGGGGUGCUAAUACCGGAUAAUGUCCUCGGACCAAAGAUUUAUCGCCUUUGGAUGGGCCCGCGUUGGAUUAGCUAGUUGGUAGGGUAAAAGCCUACCAAGGCGACGAUCCAUAGCUGGUCUGAGAGGAUGAUCAGCCACACUGGGACUGAGACACGGCCCAGACUCCUACGGGAGGCAGCAGUGGGGAAUAUUGGACAAUGGGCGAAAGCCUGAUCCAGCAAUGCCGCGUGAGUGAUGAAGGCCUUAGGGUUGUAAAGCUCUGUUACCCGGGAUGAUAAUGACAGUACCGGGAGAAUAAGCCCCGGCUAACUCCGUG